GUAGGUGGCAAGCGUUGUCCGGAAUUAUUGGGCGUAAAGCGCGCGCAGGCGGUUCUUUAAGUCUGAUGUGAAAGCCCACGGGCUCAACCGUGGAGGGUCAUUGGAAACUGGAGAACUUGAGUACAGAAGAGGAAAGCGGAAUUCCACGUGUAGCGGUGAAAUGCGUAGAGAUGUGGAGGAACACCAGUGGCGAAGGCGGCUUUCUGGUCUGUAACUGACGCUGAGGCGCGAAAGCGUGGGGAGCAAACAGGAUUAGAUACCCUGGUAGUCCACGCUGUAAACGAUGAGUGCUAAGUGUUAGGGGGUUUCCGCCCCUUAGUGCUGCAGCUAACGCAUUAAGCACUCCGCCUGGGGAGUACGGCCGCAAGGCUA
rnacentral:rRNA from 1 species